GGUCUGCUGAGCCUAAGGCCAGAAUUCAGGGCUCCCACAUGUCCUCUUUUCCCGGAGGAGGGAGGCCACUUCACACACAGCUGCCUGGGCCUCAAGCUAAGUAUCUGUGAAAAGUUUGGCAGAAAAGGGAUUCUGGAGAUGAUGUGAAUAUGUGCAAAGGCCUAGAACUUGGGGAGCUGUAGCAAAAAGAAAUGAAUCCAUUUAAGGAAGAAGAAAUCUAUUCAACACCUCAAACCAAACACCUCCAGUAUUCAACGUCUCGACAGACACCUCCUCAAUAUAAACAACCUAGAGUUUGAACCGACUUAUCCUCGUAUCCUAUACAAUAAGAGAGUGCCAGUUUAUCAUCAUUGUCACCAUCACCCAAAUCAGAGCCCACGGGACAGAGCAUGUGAUACAUAGUUCAGGAAUGUGCUCCUCAGUCCUUCAUACCAAGGAUGCAAUUGUGAGAAUCCUGCUCACCUGCUCAGCUGCUGCCAUGAGAACAAGCCUGGACUGUUUGCUGAAGGAUGAGUGAUCAUAUGGAAGAGAGCCAAGCUGUCCUGGAUGAGAUUGUCCUAGAUCAGCAGCUCCCAGGAAACCUGCCAACUGCCCACAUGGAUGAGCCCAGCUGAGAUCAGCUUAGUCUGGCACAGAUCAGCAAUUUAUAGCCAACCUACAGACUGAUGAGAAAUAAUACAUGGUUGUUCUAAUCAACUAAA